UGGUGAUUUGUCUGGUUAAUUCCGUUAACGAACGAGACCUUGACCUGCUAACUAGCGUCGCACUGCUGAUGUUGUGUGGCAAACUUCUUAGAGGAACUUUGUGUGCCCGCAUGAGGAAGUUUGAGGCAAUGACA
rnacentral:rRNA from 1 species